rnacentral:rRNA from 1 species
GAUGAACGCUGGCGGCGUGCCUAAUACAUGCAAGUCGAGCGAACAGACGAGGAGCUUGCUCCUCUGACGUUAGCGGCGGACGGGUGAGUAACACGUGGAUAACCUACCUAUAAGACUGGGAUAACUUCGGGAAACCGGAGCUAAUACCGGAUAAUAUAUUGAACCGUAUGGUUCAAUAGUGAAAGACGGUUUUGCUGUCACUUAUAGAUGGAUCCGCGCCGCAUUAGCUAGUUGGUAAGGUAACGGCCUACCAAGGCAACGAUGCGUAGCCGACCUGAGAGGGUGAUCGGCCACACUGGAACUGAGACACGGUCCAGACUCCUACGGGAGGCAGCAGUAGGGAAUCUUCCGCAAUGGGCGAAAGCCUGACGGAGCAACGCCGCGUGAGUGAUGAAGGUCUUCGGAUCGUAAAACUCUGUUAUUAGGGAAGAACAAAUGUGUAAGUAACUAUGCACGUCUUGACGGUACCUAAUCAGAAAGCCACGGCUAACUACGUG